rnacentral:rRNA from 1 species
GAUGAACGCUGGCGGCGUGCCUAAUACAUGCAAGUCGAGCGAACAGACGAGGAGCUUGCUCCUCUGACGUUAGCGGCGGACGGGUGAGUAACACGUGGAUAACCUACUUAUAUGACUGGGAUAAUUUCGGGAAACCGGAGAUAAUACCGGAUAACAUGCUGAACCGCAUGGUUCAACAGAGAAAGACGGUCUUGCUGUCACUUAUAGAUGGAUCCGCGCCGCAUUAGCUAGUUGGUAAGGUAACGGCUUACCAAGGCAACGAUGCGUAGCCGACCUGAGAGGGUGAUCGGCCACACUGGAACUGAGACACGGUCCAGACUCCUACGGGAGGCAGCAGUAGGGAAUCUUCCGCAAUGGGCGAAAGCCUGACGGAGCAACGCCGCGUGAGUGAAGAAGGUCUUCGGAUAGUAAAGCUCUGUUAUUGGGGAAGAACAAAUGUGGAAGUAACUAUGCACGUCUUGACGGUACCUAAUCAGAAAGCCACGGCUAACUACGUG